GUGCUUGCUUCGGCAGCACAUAUACUAAAAUUGGAAUGAUACAGAAAAGAUUAGCAUGGCCCCUUUAAAAAAAAAAAAGAAAAAAUUUUGGCCAACUAAAUACUCUU
rnacentral:snRNA from 1 species